GUGUUAUCCCAGGAGGCUGCCUUCGCCAUCGGUGUUCCUCCGCAUAUCUACGCAUUUCACUGCUACACGCGGAAUUCCACCUCCCUCUGACACACUCUAGCCCGGUAGUUAAAAAUGCAGUUCCAAAGUUAAGCUCUGGGAUUUCACAUCUUUCUUUCCGAACCGCCUGCGCACGCUUUACGCCCAGUAAUUCCGAUUAACGCUUGCACCCUACGUAUUACCGCGGCUGCUGGCACGUAGUUAGCCGGUGCUUAUUCUGCAGGUACCGUCAGUUUCGCGGGGUAUUAACCCGCGACGUUUCUUUCCUGCCAAAAGUGCUUUACAACCCGAAGGCCUUCAUCGCACACGCGGGAUGGCUGGAUCAGGGUUUCCCCCAUUGUCCAAAAUUCCCCACUGCUGCCUCCCGUAGGAGUCUGGGCCGUGUCUCAGUCCCAGUGUGGCUGGUCGUCCUCUCAAACCAGCUACGGAUCGUCGCCUUGGUGAGCCGUUACCCCACCAACUAGCUAAUCCGAUAUCGGCCGCUCCAAUAGUGCAAGGUCUUGCGAUCCCCUGCUUUCCCCCGUAGGGCGUAUGCGGUAUUAGCUACGCUUUCGCGUAGUUAUCCCCCGCUACUGGGCACGUUCCGAUACAUUACUCACCCGUUCGCCACUCGCCACCAGACCGAAGUCCGUGCUGCCGUUCGACUUGCAUGUGUAAGGCAUCCCGCUAGCGUUCAAUCUGAGCCAGGAUCAAACCCUC
rnacentral:rRNA from 1 species